GACGAACGCUGGCGGCGUGCCUAAUACAUGCAAGUCGAGCGAAGUUUUUCCGGUGCUUGCACCGGAAAAACUUAGCGGCGAACGGGUGAGUAACACGUAAAGAACCUGCCUCAUAGACUGGGACAACUAUUGGAAACGAUAGCUAAUACCGGAUAAUAGCAUUAACUGCAUGGUUGAUGUUUAAAAGUUGGUUUUGCUAACACUAUGAGAUGGCUUUGCGGUGCAUUAGCUAGUUGGUGGGGUAAAGGCCUACCAAGGCGACGAUGCAUAGCCGACCUGAGAGGGUGAUCGGCCACACUGGGACUGAGACACGGCCCAGACUCCUACGGGAGGCAGCAGUAGGGAAUCUUCCGCAAUGGGCGAAAGCCUGACGGAGCAACGCCGCGUGAGUGAAGAAGGAUUUCGGUUCGUAAAGCUCUGUUGUUAGGGAAGAAUGAUUGUGUAGUAACUAUACACAGUAGAGACGGUACCUAACCAGAAAGCCACGGCUAACUACGU
rnacentral:rRNA from 1 species